AGGGCUGUGGCUCAGAGGUAGAGCAUUUGCCUUCCACGAAGAGUGUCCCAGGUUCAGUCCCCAGCAGCUCCA